UUUCCGUAGGUGAACCUGCGGAAGGAUCAUUAUGAGUUGUCAUGGGGUUCGAUGCUGGCAGCCAGUUUUUGGAUGCAUGUGCUCGCCCUAACAAUCAUCUUCUUCCAAACACCUGUGCACAUUUUUGAGGGAGUCUUGAGUUGGUUGCCGCUCUUGGGUGAUUUUCUCACAUUCCCUUAAAUCAUUAUACGCUAUUAACAAUGUUGAACGUGCUCUGUGCCGCGAGGCCAUUAAUAUAAUACAACUUUUAACAACGGAUCUCUUGGCUCUC
rnacentral:misc_RNA from 1 species